rnacentral:lncRNA from 1 species
CACACUUAUUUACAGAAAUAAACGACAUUUUGUUUUAAUCGAUGUCCCGUUUCAACUGUUCAUAAUGCAUGACUGUGAUUUCGUAAUGCACGGGUGUGGUUUCGUAAUGCAUGACUGAGAUUUCGUAAUGCAUGACUGAGAUUUCGUAAUGCAUGACUGAGAUCUCGUAAUGACUGGCUGUAGCAAUUUCUCCAUUCAUAAUGACCAGAUGUCGAAAUUUUCCUUUUAUAAAGCAUGGGCAUUUCUAUACAUAUUGUAGUAAGUUGGUUAAUAAUAUAAAAUAUUUAC